rnacentral:rRNA from 1 species
CCCUUAGAUGUUCUGGGCCGCACGCGUGCUACACUGACCGGCGCAACAAGCUUUUUUCCUUGGCUCGACAGGCCUGGGUAAUCUUCGAACGCCGGUCGUGAUGGGGAUAGAUCCUUGCAAUUUUUGAUCUUCAACGAGGAAUUCCUAGUAAAUGCGAGUCAUCAUCUCGCGUUGAUUACGUCCCUGCCCUUUGUACACACCGCCCGUCGCACCUACCGAUUGAAUGGUCCGGUGAAUCUUUAGGACUGUGGCUGAGGCCUUGCCUUGUGCGGGUCUGGCCGUGGGAAUUUAGUUAAACCUUACCAUUUAGAGGAAGGUGAAGUCGUAACA